AGUGGCGCACGGGUGAGUAACGCGUAAGUUAUCUACCCCGGCAUCUGGAAUAACUCACCGAAAGGUGUGCUAAUACCGGAUACGUUGAUUCAUCAAGAAAGGUGGCCUCUGUAUAUGCUACCGUGCCGGGAUGAGCUUGCGUACCAUUAGCUAGUUGGUAGGGUAAUGGCCUACCAAGGCGACGAUGGUUAGCGGGUCUGAGAGGAUGAUCCGCCACACUGGAACUGGAACACGGACCAGACUCCUACGGGAGGCAGCAGUGAGGAAUAUUGCGCAAUGGGGGAAACCCUGACGCAGCGACGCCGCGUGGAUGAUGAAGCCUUCGGGUUGUAAAAUCCUGUCAGGAGGGAAGAAGUGUAUGGUAGCUAAUAUCUGCCAUACUUGACGGUACCUCCAAAGGAAGCACCGGCUAACUCCGUGCCAGCAGCCGCGGUAAUACGGAGGGUGCAAGCGUUGUUCGGAAUUACUGGGCGUAAAGCG
rnacentral:rRNA from 1 species